rnacentral:rRNA from 1 species
GCUGGCGGCAGGCCUAACACAUGCAAGUCGAGCGGCCGUAGCAAUACGGCAGCGGCAGACGGGAGAGUAACACGUGGGAACGCGCCCUUCGGUUCGGAAUAACUCAGGGAAACUUGGGCUAAUACCGGAUACGCCCUUACGGGGAAAGAUUUAUUGCCGAAGGAACGGCCCGCGUCCGAUUAGCUUGUUGGUGAGGUAACGGCUCACCAAGGCGACGAUCGGUAGCUGGUCUGAGAGGAUGACCAGCCUCACUGGGACUGAGACACGGCCCAGACUCCUACGGGAGGCAGCAGUGGGGAAUAUUGGACAAUGGGCGCAAGCCUGAUCCAGCCAUGCCGCGUGGGUGAUGAAGGCCCUAGGGUUGUAAAGCCCUUUCAGCGGGGAAGAUAAUGACGGUACCCGCAGAAGAAGCCCCGGCUAACUUCGUGCCAGCAGCCGCGGUAAUACGAAGGGGGCUAGCGUUGCUCGGAAUUACUGGGCGUAAAGCGCACGUAGGCGGAUUGUUAAGUCGGGGGUGAGAUCCUGGAGCUCAACUCCAGAACUGCCUUCGAUACUGGCGAUCUCNAGUUCGGGAGAGG